UACGGAGGAUCCAAGCGUUAUCCGGAUUCAUUGGGUUUAAAGGGUGCGUAGGCGGAAGAGUAAGUCAGUGGUGAAAGCCUGCAGCUUAACUGCAGAAUUGCCAUUGAUACUGCUCAUCUUGAGUACAUUUGAUGUGGGCGGAAUGUGUCAUGUAGCGGUGAAAUGCAUAGAUAUGACACAGAACACCGAUUGCGAAGGCAGCUCACAAAACUGUAACUGACGCUGGAGGCACGAAAGCGUGGGGAUCGAACAGG
rnacentral:rRNA from 1 species